rnacentral:rRNA from 1 species
UACAGAGGGGGCAAGCGUUGUUCGGAAUUACUGGGCGUAAAGGGCUCGUAGGUGGCCAACUAAGUCAGACGUGAAAUCCCUCGGCUUAACCGGGGAACUGCGUCUGAUACUGGAUGGCUUGAAUUCGGGAGAGGGAUGCAGAAUUCCAGGUGUAGCGGUGAAAUGCGUAGAUAUCUGGAGGAAUACCGGUGGCGAAGGCGGCAUCCUGGACCGACAUUGACGCUGAGGAGCGAAAGCUAGGGGAGCAAACGGG